AGCCAGAAAGGUGCCACGUGACAGGAACAAGCCAAAGCCCCAGCGGGCAGGGUAAACGCUACCGGAGGGUAUUAGCUGUUACAUGGUUCCUGUAUUCACCCAUCAUCGUGGUGGCUUGAGCCCCUGAAGAUCUAGAAACAAUAUAUUUAAACAUGAAGGCGCCAGAAAUCCUGCUUUGGACAGCAACAGCAUUUCUAUCUUUGAGUUCCAGCCAGGGACAAGGCAGUGUCACGCAAACACAAGGGCAGCUGGCAAAGUUGGGGGGGUCAGACUGUCACCCUGGAGUGUACUUUCUCCACUGGGUACCAGUAUUAUUACUUAUUUUGGUACAGACAGCAACGAUCAGGGACAAUGGAUUUCCUCUUCCGAAUAUCUCAGAGUAACACUGAACAGAACGGAGCCGGGAAACGAUUUUCUGCAGAAUUCGGGAAAUCCUCAAAAUUCUUCACUUUAACCAUUAAAGAGCUAGAGCCGACGGACUCGGC